rnacentral:rRNA from 1 species
UACGGGGGGGGCAAGCGUUGUUCGGAAUUACUGGGCGUAAAGGGCUCGUAGGCGGCCAACUAAGUCAGACGUGAAAUCCCUCGGCUUAACCGGGGAACUGCGUCUGAUACUGGAUGGCUAGAGUUUGGGAGAGGGAUGCGGAAUUCCAGGUGUAGCGGUGAAAUGCGUAGAUAUCUGGAGGAACACCGGUGGCGAAGGCGGCGAUCUGGGAAGAUACUGACGCUGAGAGGCGAAAGCGUGGGGAGCAAACAGG